rnacentral:other from 1 species
UUUCCCCUGCGGUGUUUGUCAAGGCCACAUACUCCUUGAACCAAUGUCUACGUGACAAGGUUGUGACCCAAUAAACUGCUGUUGUGAGCGCCCUUUUCCGGGCGCACCUGAUGCGGUCGGGCUACGACCCCCUGAACUCCGGUUCAGGAUGCCGGUCUGGCGGCACGCGUGGGGGAUCC